AUCUUAGUGCUAAGGACAGGGAGA
rnacentral:piRNA from 1 species